UUCGACAGAUUUUCCAUAUCAUCUCAAAUUAUUCAGUGAUGGUAUACUGGUUCCCCAAGUGAGCAUCUAAAACCAUGCCAUGAAAGUAUAAAAGGAAGAAAGAAGUACGAGCUCGAUUAUGUUCUCAGACCACAUAUCAGCUGAAGGCUGCUUUCGAUGAGAUAGAUAAAAGAAUCGUGAGAGUUAACGAUAUCUCAUAAAAUUUGGAUGGGUUUUUGGUUUACAGUGUGAAGUACUUUCAUGGAGGGCAACUAUUCCCAAAAAAGUGUUCCACAAAAAGCAACAUUCUGUAAUAUCUGUAAAUUCUAAGUAGUAUUAAAUAAG